rnacentral:rRNA from 1 species
UACGAAGGGGGCUAGCGUUGUUCGGAAUCACUGGGCGUAAAGCGCACGUAGGCGGAUCUUUAAGUCAGAGGUGAAAUCCCUAGGCUCAACCUUGGAACUGCCUUUGAUACUGGGGAUCUUGAGUCCGGGAGAGGUGAGUGGAACUGCGAGUGUAGAGGUGAAAUUCGUAGAUAUUCGCAAGAACACCAGUGGCGAAGGCGGCUCACUGGCCCGGUACUGACGCUGAGGUGCGAAAGCGUGGGGAGCAAACAGG